rnacentral:rRNA from 1 species
GACGAACGCUGGCGGCGUGCUUAACACAUGCAAGUCGAACGGAAAGGCCCUGCUUUUGUGGGGUGCUCGAGUGGCGAACGGGUGAGUCACACGUGAGUCACCUGCCCUUGACUUUGGUAUAACUUCAGGAAACUGGGGCUAAUACCGGAUAGGCGCUCCCGCUGCAGGGUGGGGUGUGGAGAGUUUUGGCGGUUGGGUAUGGACUCGCGGCAUAUCAGCUUGUUGGUGGGGUAAUGGCUUACCAAGGCCUUGACGGGUAGCCGGCCUGAGAGGGUGACCGGCCACAUUGGGACUGAGAUACGGCCCAGACUCCUACGGGAGGCAGCAGUGGGGAAUAUUGCACAAUGGGCGGAAGCCUGAUGCAGCAACGCCGCGUGCGGGAUGACGGCCUUCGGGUUGUAAACCGCUUUCGCCUGUGACGAAGCGUGAGUGACGGUAAUGGGUAAAGAAGCACCGGCUAACUACGUG